GAAACGGCUACCACAUCUAAGGAAGGCAGCAGGCGCGUAAAUUACCCACUCCCAGUUCGGGGAGGUAGUGACGAAAAAUAACAAUACAGGACUCAUAUCCGAGGCCCUGUAAUUGGAAUGAGUACACUUUAAAUCCUUUAACAAGGACCAAUUGGAGGGCAAGUCUGGUGCCAGCAGCCGCGGUAAUUCCAGCUCCAAUAGCGUAUAUUAAAGUUGUUGCGGUUAAAACGUUCGUAGUUGAAUUUGUGCUUCAUACGGGUAGUACAACUACAAUUGUGGAUUGUACAUUACCUUAUGUAUGCAAGCGUAUUACCGGUGGAGUUCUAAUAUAUAAUGGUACUUGUAUCAUUAUGUAUACCUCCUAUUUAAACCUGCUUCCGUGCUCUUCAUCGAGUGUUGUUGUGGGCCGGUACAAUUACUUUGAACAAAUUAGAGUGCUUAAAGCAGGCUCCAAAUGCCUGAAUAUUUUGUGCAUGGAAUAAUGAAAUAAGACUUCUGAUCUACUUUCAUUGGUUUUUAGAUCAAGAGGUAAUGAUUAAUAGAAGCAGUUUGGGGGCAUUAGUAUUACGACGCGAGAGGUGAAAUUCUUGGACC
rnacentral:rRNA from 1 species